AAGUCGUAACAAGGUUUCCGUAGGUGAACCUGCGGAAGGAUCAUUAACACGUGAUACUUCACGUAUUAACCAAACGCGAACUGUUCUUAUGUCCUAUCGUUGAUGUGAGUGGGAAGUGAGGGAAGGCGGUGAGACUGUUGCUUCGGUGACGGACUCUAACUCACGGACCUGCGAUCCCUAGCAAUGGGAGAUCGAGCUUAUGUCAGCGGUAGCAGAUGAAUUUCGGCUGUGGGCUUGCUUCCUGGCUAGCAGUCGGAGUGACUAAACCUUAUUAACCCCUUUUUUAAUUUGGACUAAUUCUAGACGCUCUCUCGAAUUCCUGGGCAACCGGUUGAGUUUGAUCGAGGAUGUCGCACAUACUAAUACGAAACAACUCUUAGCAACGGAUAUCUUGGUUCUC
rnacentral:misc_RNA from 1 species